AUGAACGCUGGCGGCGUGCCUAAUACAUGCAAGUCGAGCGAACAGACGAGGAGCUUGCUCCUCUGACGUUAGCGGCGGACGGGUGAGUAACCCGUGGAUAACCUACCUAUAAUACUGGGAUAACUUCGGGAAACCGGAGCUAAUACCGGAUAAUAUAUUGAACCGCAUGGUUCAAUAGUGAAAGUCGGUUUUGCUGUCACUUAUAGAUGGAUCCGCGCCGCAUUAGCUAGUUGGUAAGGUAACGGCUUACCAAGGCAACGAUGCGUAGCCGACCUGAGAGGGUGAUCGGCCACACUGGAACUGAGACACGGUCCAGACUCCUACGGGAGGCAGCAGUAGGGAAUCUUACGCAAUGGGCGAAAGCUUGACGGAGCAACGCCGCGUGAGUGAUGAAGGUCUUCGGAUCGUAAAACUCUGUUAUUAGGGAAGAACAAAUGUGUAAGUAACUAUGCACGUCUUGACGGUACCUAAUCAGAAAGCCACGGCUAACUACGUG
rnacentral:rRNA from 1 species